GCACGGGUGAGUAACACGUAGGUAACGUACCCUAGAGUCUGGGAUAACCAGUCGAAAGACUGGCUAAUACCAGAUACGACUAUCGAGGCCCCGGCCUCUGUAGUGAAAGAUGGCCUCUGUUUACAUGCUAUCACUCCUGGAUCGGCCUGCGGACCAUUAGCUAGUUGGUGAGGUAAUGGCUCACCAAGGCUGAGAUGGUUAGCUGGUCUGAGAGGAUGGCCAGCCACACUGGGACUGAGACACGGCCCAGACUCCUACGGGAGGCAGCAGUGGGGAAUAUUGCGCAAUGGGCGAAAGCCUGACGCAGCGACGCCGCGUGGGUGAUGAAGGCCUUCGGGUCGUAAAGCCCUGUCGGGAGGGAAGAAACAGCCCAGACUUAACACGCUUGGGUUUUGACGGUACCUCCUAAGGAAGCACCGGCUAACUCCGUGCCAGCAGCCGCGGUAA
rnacentral:rRNA from 1 species